rnacentral:lncRNA from 1 species
AAGAAAAGCAAGAAGCAUGUUACAAAUUGAACAUACAAUCCAUGAACAGAGCUGUGACACCAAUUAAAUGGGCUGCCUGCAACGUCUGCAUCUUCCCUUGGGUGAUGGCAUAGCAUGAAAGCUUUCCAUAGCAUUAAGCUGCUAUACAAGUGGGUGCCCCUAUCUGCAGCAGCACUCUGAAUCAUUAAAUUACUGACCAGACUCAAUGAUCUUUCACACACAAUCCAGACCCACUAGAGUACAAACCAAGUGUGGUUGAACACCAGCUAUAGACACUGCAGCAAUGGCAUGAACCAUAAGAACAAUAAACACCUUGGUAGUUAAAAUAGGAGAGGUGGUAUUACUGUACUACAUUGUACUAUAGCAAAUAUCAUAAAUAACUAACACUCUACACAUAGAAAGAGCUGAAUGAGUGACACCAGCCCGUUUACUUUAACAAAGAGUUGACUUUCAACUACAAACAAGAACUUGAGAAGCUCCAACAAGCCUUCAAGCUCAUCGUCAUCCUAAAGCUUUAAGACUCCACAUUUCCACAGCUCACUUCUGUUGCCAACUGUGAACAAAAUGACAUUACCACAUUAAAAAUAAGGAAUGCCUCGGCUCUCCAGUUUACCUUGAGGCACAAGACAGCGAGCUGAGGAGUCACGUUGGAUUUUCCAGCAGCUUCACAGAUUAUUUGAAGGUGAAUGAAAAGCUGCUGAUAGGAGCUUCGGCAGGCUCAUUGUAUCUAAUGGCAUCAGUUUAGGAGGGAGGCCAUAGCACCCUCAGUUAACAACGCUGCCACAUCCAAAGCCUGUGGGUCUAAGAGCAGCAAGGUCAAGGCUGUCACCUGGCACAGGGUAACGCUGCCUGAUCGUGCAGUCCCACUACUGAUGGGCAACGCUACCUGAGCACAUGGUGACCUCUCCCAGCAGGAGAGCUGUGAAAGCAGGGAAGGCUUUGCAAACCUCAUUCGUCAUCACACCAAGGCAUGGACACACUGCUGGCAGUUCUGCAACGCAUCCAACGUGCAGUUAAGCACAAUGGUCGCUCCUCCACGCACAUCAAGGAGAACAAACCUCAACGUGAGUGCACCAAAAUCCCGGUGACCGCCGACUACACACCGUCUAAUUCAACCCCAGAGGCGAUGACUCAACAUUUAAAGUAUUCCAUUAGAGCCUCAGCGAGGAGAACCCCGCGGAGAAAGGAAAACGCCGAGAGGACCCUGCGUGCAAUAGAUACAGCCAGGAAAAAGCAACGAGCGGCCAAGGACGGACACGAGGCUUUGGGAGCCCGCACCGCCCCAAGGCCUCACUGUGCUGCGGGGACCGAAAUGAAUCGCGGCCGGUCUCGGCCCGCGCCCCCCGCCCCGCAGCGCCGCUCCCAGCCCCGCGGCGCCCACACAAAGGAUCCCGCGCUUCGCCCCGCGCGGGGCCGCGCCGCGAACAAUGGCAUUUACAUGGGAUACCCAAAUGAACGCGGUUCCCACGCACGGAUCCGGCGCUGCUCAACGGGAGGAGGGAUAACAAGGGAUCUCGAUCACCGAGGGAUCCAGAGGGAUCCCCCCCCCUCCGGCACCGAACAAAAGGGCGCGGGUCGGGGCCGGGCCGGGCGGCCCGCGGGACCCUCGGCAGGGCCCGAAGGACAAAGGGCAGCGGCCCCGGCUCGGCCCGGCUGCGGAGCGGCAGAAAAUGGCCACCUCCCCUGGUUGCGGUGCGGCCGGCCCGCACAAGGGGUCUUUGUGUGCCGGACCCGCGCCUCAGCGCCGCCUCCCGCCGCACCGAUCCCGGCCGCCAUCCCCCCCCCCGUCCACAACCAACCUCCCUCGGCCGCCCCACGGAGCGGUGGAUGCCGCUGCCCCCUGCCCCACCUGUGUGUGCAGCGCCGCUCCCCGCAGCUCGCGCCGCCCGCCGGCUCCUCAGCCCCGCUCCGCUCCGCCCCCCGCCCGCCGCGCGCCUUUAGCGCCACACCGAGCCCUCCGCCCCCCUCUCGCCGCCGCCUCGAGUCCCGCCCCCGCCGCCGCCGCACGCCGCGCGCUCAUUGGUUCCCUCACACGUCCGUCUUCCGCCGCUCGCUCGCCCAUUGGCCCGCCGCGCGGCCUCUCCGCGGCCACGGCCAUAGCAACCUCCGCACGCUUACCCUCCAAACCCCGCCUCCUCGCUUCGCCCCGCCCCGCUGCUCUCAUUGGCCGCUCGGUUUUAAACUCUCCUCUCAUUGGGCGCUCGCCACGCCCGUCACGGCGAGCCUCGCCCCGCGCUGCAGCACGCCCGGCGGGGGGCGCGGCGCGUUCACGGCGCUGCAGCGGGCGGUGCGCGCGGUGCCGCAGAGCGGGGCGGGAACGCGCCUCCCCCUCAGGAGGGACCGGGCCGGGAAUGUAACACCACAGCAACACAUCGCUAUACAUCUCCAUGCAGUAACAAGGUUUCGCUCUCAGCCAUCUCAGUGGUGA